AGUUGCAGAGAAUGAAUCAUCAAGCGACGAAAUCGACGGUAUUGAUGCUCAGACACAAACACAGAGAGAAGAAAAUGAUCCCGUAAUGGAAGAUACCAUGAUAGACAACAUUGCGAAAGAAAUUUUAGCCGAAUACACCAUUGAAAACGCUCAAUUGUUUAGUCUUUUAAAACAACAAUGCAAAUUGGAGGAUACAAUGGGUUUCACCACCUACUUUCUUCACGGGUAAAAAAAAAAGGACUAUAGAAAGGACAUUUUGCGACAAAGAGACGAGGAUGGUCUUACACUUCUUCAUUAUGCUGCAAUUGGAGGUUCAACUCGAAUAUUUGAUGAUAUUUUACAAACUGAUAACAGCCUGAAAGUUGAUGUUAAAUGUAAUAGAGGUCAAACGGUUCUGCACUAUGCAAUAAGAGAAGGUCAAGAGGAAAUGAGUAUUUACCUAAUUACAAAAUAUGAGGAACUGCUUUGUGGCAUCAAAUCUGAUACAAAACAAAGACCUGAAAUUCAUGAAGAUUCAGAAAAGAAAAUUACUCCAAGCUUUGAAUCAAUCCAUUGGAUUGCAUGGAUUGGUAAAUUAGACCUUCUGGAAACUAUGAAAAGGAGAGAUAUGAACACACCGUCAUGUCUUGAUAUGGCAAAAACAACAAGAAAUGGUCUUAAUAUUUUACACAUAGCUUGCUUGGCAAAUGAUAAUACUUUCUGUAAACAUGUAAUUGAAAAUGAAAAUCAAAUUGACAUCUUUACAAUAGAUACCUGUGGAUGGAAUGCUGCUCAUUUUGCUGCAAGAGCAAAUAACUAUGCCUUUUUUGAUAUACUUAAACAAUGUAAAAAAGAAAAUCUUAUUGAAAUCAAAACCAAAAGUGGAAAAACAACUUUACAUAUAGCUUGU